GGGCCGGUUGCCUAGCCCGGAUAGGGCACCAGCCUUCUAAGUUGGACUUCGAGGGUUCUUGGCCUUUGAUUUCCAAAGGCCAGCCCAAAAGUCCCUCCCGGCCCGCCA
rnacentral:tRNA from 1 species